rnacentral:rRNA from 1 species
CCCUCCUACGGGAGGCAGCAGUAGGGAAUCUUCGGCAAUGGACGAAAGUCUGACCGAGCAACGCCGCGUGAGUGAAGAAGGUUUUCGGAUCGUAAAACUCUGUUGUUAGAGAAGAACAAGGAUGAGAGUAACUGUUCAUCCCUUGACGGUAUCUAACCAGAAAGCCACGGCUAACUACGUGCCAGCAGCCGCGGUAAUACGUAGGUGGCAAGCGUUGUCCGGAUUUAUUGGGCGUAAAGCGAGCGCAGGCGGUUUCUUAAGUCUGAUGUGAAAGCCCCCGGCUCAACCGGGGAGGGUCAUUGGAAACUGGGAGACUUGAGUGCAGAAGAGGAGAGUGGAAUUCCAUGUGUAGCGGUGAAAUGCGUAGAUAUAUGGAGGAACACCAGUGGCGAAGGCGGCUCUCUGGUCUGUAACUGACGCUGAGGCUCGAAAGCGUGGGGAGCAAACAGGAUUAGAUACCCUGGUAGUCCACGCCGUAAACGAUGAGUGCUAAGUGUUGGAGGGUUUCCGCCCUUCAGUGCUGCAGCUAACGCAUAAGC